rnacentral:rRNA from 1 species
GACGAACGCUGGCGGCGUGCCUAAUACAUGCAAGUCGAGCGAAGCUUCGGAUGGGUGAGUAACGCGUGGGUAACCUGCCCUUAAGUCUGGGAUACCAUUUGGAAACAGAUGCUAAUACCGGAUACUCACGGAUGUACCUGCGAUGCAUUAGCUAGUUGGUAAGGUAACGGCUUACCAAGGCGAUGAUGCAUAGCGGAGUUGAGAGACUGAUCGGCCACAGUGGGACGGAGACACGGCACAAAAUCCUACGGGAGGCAGCAGUAGGGAAUCUUCCAAAAUGGACGAAAGUCUGAUGGAGGAAAGCCGCGUGAGUGAAGAAGGUGUUCGGAUCGUAAAGCUCUGUUGUUGGUGAAGCGGUAAUCAACCAGAAAGUCACGGCUAACUACGUGCCAGCCGCCGCGGUAAUAC